GACGAACGCUGGCGGCGUGCUUAACACAUGCAAGUCGAACGGAAGGGCCCUGCUUUUGUGGGGUGCUCGAGUGGCGAACGGGUGAGUAACACGUGAGUAACCUGCCCUUGACUUUGGGAUAACUUCAGGAAACUGGGGCUAAUACCGGAUAGGAGCUCCUGCUGCAUGGUGGGGGUUGGAAAGUUUCGGCGGUUGGGGAUGGACUCGCGGCUUAUCAGCUUGUUGGUGGGGUAGUGGCUUACCAAGGCUUUGACGGGUAGCCGGCCUGAGAGGGUGACCGGCCACACUGGGACUGAGAUACGGCCCAGACUCCUACGGGAGGCAGCAGUGGGGAAUAUUGCACAAUGGGCGGAAGCCUGAUGCAGCAACGCCGCGUGCGGGAUGACGGCCUUCGGGUUGUAAACCGCUUUCGCCUGUGACGAAGCGUGAGUGACGGUAAUGGGUAAAGAAGCACCGGCUAACUACGUG
rnacentral:rRNA from 1 species